CGCACACACACACACACACACACACACACACACACACACACACACACACACACACACACACACACACACACACACACACACACACACACACACACACACAUAUACGCCCACACACAUAUGCAAACACUGCAAACACGCGCACACACACACAACCUUCGGGACAGCUGGUGACCGGGGGAGAGCAAGGCAACCGCAGAAGGUUACUCUAAACACCGGUGAUUGCACCCUGCUGUCCAUUCAGGAAUUAUUCUCUUCUCUCAACCAAUCAGAUCGUGCACUCAGACUGCCCAUUCAUAAAGAAACAGCACUGAGUUCCGCAUGUGUUUGGUCUAACUAUGGAGGAUCUGUGAGCGUUUUCUCAGCCUUAACGUGGACCAUAUGACAUCCAUCAGAAGCAGCAGUGUUAGCUGAGAUUUUUAUUUUUUUCACUUACCCUCUCGGAGCAUUUCCUCCUGACGUCUGGAAGCCUCUUACCAGUCUACACCACAGAGAAAGUACCUGGACUUACAGUCAGUCUCCGCUGAGACACCUGAGAAACAGGAAGAUAAGCUGAGCGAU
rnacentral:lncRNA from 1 species